ensembl:snRNA U1 U1 spliceosomal RNA
AUACUUAUCUGGCAGAGGGGAUACUAUAAUCUUGAAAGUGGGUCUCCCAGAGCAAGGCAUAUUCUUUGCACUUUGGGAUUGUUGACCUCUAUGAUUUCCUCAAAUGUGGGAAACCACACUGUAGUAACUUGUGGUAGUAGGGGGCAGCAUGUGCGUUCUGCUUCCGU